rnacentral:rRNA from 1 species
UACGUAGGGUGCGAGCGUUGUCCGGAAUUACUGGGCGUAAAGAGCUCGUAGGUGGUUUGUCGCGUUGUUCGUGAAAACUCACAGCUCAACUGUGGGCGUGCGGGCGAUACGGGCAGACUGGAGUACUGCAGGGGAGACUGGAAUUCCUGGUGUAGCGGUGGAAUGCGCAGAUAUCAGGAGGAACACCGGUGGCGAAGGCGGCUCUCUGGACCGAUACUGACGCUGAGGAGCGAAAGCAUGGGGAGCGAACAGG